CCAUUUGCUUCUCAUAUUCAUAGAGAACUUUCCUCCCAAGGCCGCCAUAGAGCCUAGCUCAACCUUGGUUCCCUUCCUGCACAACUACUGUGACGUUUGCAACAAGAAGCCCUCUGGCUUUAUUGUCAAGGGAAACAUGUUUACAUUGCCAAGCAAGUCUCUCAAGUGCUGAAGCUACAGCUGAAGAUCAGGGAGCAGCAGGUCCUGCUCUUCUGCUUCAUGAACUUCCUCACGCUGGAGGGUGCAGUGCACGUGCUCCAGUUCUGCCUCACGGUGGAAACUGCUCCAGGACCCAGAGCUGAGCAACAGUCAGCUGUUGGCAGACUUCCCAUCUCCUCACAGUCUGGACUCAGUUCGUGGACAAGAUGCUGCCUGAUGUCAAUCUAGCUCUUCAAUGACCUGUUCAAGAACAACGCCAACCGAUCGGAGAGAGCAGAGAAGAAACACAACCAGAACUACUUCAUGAAGAUGAUCACUGUGGAAGGGGUCUACUUUAUGUACAGUAUGUGAAAAGUUAUCAAAUAUUAUACACCCCUAGUAAGUAUGGCACUCACUGUAUUCAGUGCAGUACACUGCACAACAUAGUUUACCACAAUUCAUCAACAACAGUUAAGGGCUGUUUGACUGUACUGCAUGAUUUAAACAGAAGUAAACACAUUUCAGUUCAGUGAUGAAAAGACCAGAUUAGGAUGUGUCAGAAUUUGUAUUCAUUUGCAUCUAUUUUCCUCAGUUGACUGGACCUGGUUCUUUUAGAACUGUUUCCUGAACUGAACAAGCAGGGACAGCAGGAGACUGCUUCUAACAUGGCUCCAUGGACGUGGCAAGAGGAUUGUCUGGCUUUAGUCUCUGCUUCAUCUGCUGCAUGUUGUUGGAAUAAACUGUAUAUACAGCACUUAAAACCACUCAUACCGCUGCACUUGUGAUAAUGUUUACUGAUUCAUAAAACAAUAAUACUGAAAAGGGGAAGUGACUGAACAUGAUUGUGGUAAUAAAAGAAAAAUGUCUGAAGACU